GGACCAGUGGCGUAGCGGUUAUCGCGUCUGUUUUACACACAGAAGGUCGUCGGUUCAAUCCCGACCUGGUUCA
rfam:Exidia glandulosa HHB12029 unplaced genomic scaffold EXIGLscaffold_670, whole genome shotgun sequence.